ACCUCUAGCUAGAUCCCGCACCAUAGUCGUAGGAUCAAGAAAUCUGCAUUCAUUCCACUCCUGGAAAAUUCUUAUUGGAAAUAUGGCUUUUGGUCCCAAUUCAAUGACAUGUCCACUCAAAUCUUCAUCAUGGAGAAUGGUUUGAAAUCUGCCCAAUUGGCGCAAAACCAUGUGAGGAGCAUACAGUUCGAUGCUCCGGAUGCCCAUCAGGAGAAGAUAACACACUUCGGCUGACAUGUAUAUUGCUUUGGUGGUCGGAAGCCAUCCGAAUGCCCA
rnacentral:lncRNA from 1 species